GAUGAACGCUGGCGGCGUGCCUAAUACAUGCAAGUCGAACGCAGAGGCAGGAGCUUGCCUCCCCGGAUGUGUUCCGCGCACGUGAGAGUAACGUAGGUAUACUGUAUGGAUGCGGCGGGGAUCACUUCGAAAAGCUAGAUCUUACAGCAUAAGAUAAGUUGUACCAUAACGUUCACUAGUAAAAUGCAAUUGUACUACUACUUGUAGGUCCAGCGCCGCAUCAGUUAGUUGGUGGGGUAACGGCUUACCAAGGCAACGAUGCGUAGCCGACCUGAGAGGGUGAUCGGCCACACUGGAACUGAGACACGGUCCAGACUCCUACGGGAGGCAGCAGUAGGGAAUCUUCCGCAAUGGGCGAAAGCCUGACGGAGCAACGCCGCGUGAGUGAUGAAGGUCUUCGGAUCGUAAAACUCUGUUAUUAGGGAAGAACAAAUGUGUAAGUAACUAUGCACGUCUUGACGGUACCUAAUCAGAAAGCCACGGCUAACUACGUG
rnacentral:rRNA from 1 species